rnacentral:lncRNA from 1 species
GGCGAAAAUCGUAGAAAAUUGUAGAUCCACUGAGGCUGAGAGUUUAGUUGAAUAUUAAAAUCGAGUAAAUAUGUCAUGAAAUCAAUGAGAGAUGAAGACGCAGCAGCAUAACGCAGCUGAAUAAUAUUGUGCCCACUCGAAUUUAUUAGUAAGCAGGUAGGAUGGGUGGCUACAAUAAUCAUUUAAAAGCAGUAUUAUUUCUCCAAUUUGGACAGAGCGUUUAACUUUUUAAAUUGCGGUCGUUCAGCUGUCGUUAAGCCGUGCCCCCUAUUCAAAAUAGAGAUCAAUGGAUUCUCGCAUAGCUGCUGCCCCCCUUCUCUAAUAAAGAAUUAAAAAUUAAUUCUUUAAAGAAAUCGAUGCGGAGGAGACCAUAAAGGAGACCCUGAGACUGACGGUUCGCAUUCCACAUUAAUAGAGAAAAUAAUGAAAUGAAAAUGAAAAUAAAUCUAUGUUCUUCUCAACAAGGACAGAUAAAAAAUUUGACAAACCAAUUUGCAAUUGCUUACGAUCCGAAAUCAAGAGAGUUGCAAACAUAUAAUUGAUUUAGAGACAGAAAUUCGGUCAGAAAAGAUCGCUGAUGAUGGAAGAGUUGUAUCCUUUGAAAGAGUCACAAUCUCAAUUAAUUACUUUAAAAAUUUACAGAUUGUAGCGAUCGAGAAUGUAUACAGAUCGGUAUAUGAAAAACAUAUGAAAAGGAUAAAAGCAUGUAAGUCUAAG